UGGGGAGCAAAAUUUCUUACACAAAUGAAAGGUAAUUUUCAUGAGUUUCAAUUUUGUAUUGCAAUGGCACUAUCUCUGUUAACAAUACUCAAAACCAGAUCUUACACAAGGUAAUGUGCCUUUUUGCAAUGAUAGAAUGUCAAAAUACGUAAUAGAAACACAGAUGAAGGAUGAUGGUUUUCUUCUUUCUAGCAAUUAUAACCACUCUAACUGAACAAUUUAUGCGUCCAUCAGUAAUAUCACAAAUCAUAUCUUACUUUCCAUUUCCCAAUAUUGUUGACAGUGAGAGUCCAGUUGUUUUCACUAAACUGAAAGUAAGGGACCUUUUCAAUGACUUCGUAUCCAACUUUGAGCCUCACAUCUUGGUCUUUUUUCACAUCCAUGAUAUCCCAAGUAAAUUCAGCAGCAACUCUCGACUUUUUCUCCAAAAGUUUUUCGUCCACAUCGUACUUGCCCUUAAUAUGAAAGUUAACCGAAUUAUUUGCCGUCACUGGAAAUUCUUUUUUACCACGAACAGUAUACCAGAGCUUUUGCCGCCUAUAAUAUUGCACUCCCACAGCAAGACUAGCAUAUUGAUCAGGAAAGUAUUGCCUUAUCAUAGCACAGAGAUAAGUUGGUGCUCCAAUUUUGGUGUCUAGUUCUGCAUGACCCUGCAAAUGGGUGAAAGUGUUAAGAGGAAAUUUCUCCUUGGCAUGAAUCACCAGACUCUUGGAAUCUCCAGCAUAACGAAGUGAGCUCUCCAUUUUCUGUUAAAUGCAGGUGUUCUUCACUGUAGAAGAAUCCCCCAACCCCCAACUGGUUAAACCCUAGAUAUAUAUGAAUGGAAG
rnacentral:misc_RNA from 1 species